UUUAUUGCCGUAGGAUGGGACUGCGGCCUAUCAGUUUGUUGGUGAGGUAAUGGCCCACCAAGACUAUUACAGGUACGGGCUCUGAGAGGAGUAGCCCGGAGAUGGGUACUGAGACACGGACCCAGGCCCUAUGGGGCGCAGCAGGCGAGAAAACUUUGCAAUGUGCGAAAGCACGACAAGGUUAAUCCGAGUGGUUUCUGCUAAAGGAACCUUUUGUCAGUCCUAGAAACACUGAUGAAUAAGGGGUGGGCAAGUUCUGGUGUCAGCCGCCGCGGUAAAACCAGCACCUCAAGUGGUCAGGAUGAUUAUUGGGCCUAAAGCAUCCGUAGCCUGCUUUGUAAGUUUUCGGUUAAAUCCAUACGCUCAACGUAUGGGCUGCCGGGAAUACUGCAAAGCUAGGGAGUGGGAGAGGUAGACGGUACUCGGUAGGAAGGGGUAAAAUCCUUUGAUCUAUUGAUGACCACCUGUGGCGAAGGCGGUCUACCAGAACACGUCCGACGGUGAGGGAUGAAAGCUGGGGGAGCAAACCGGAUUA
rnacentral:rRNA from 1 species